AAUGACGAUCUUGUUAAGUUGACUACUUCCUUGUAUUUUUGAUGAAAUUAAUUUGAAGGCGUUUUCGGAUUAUGUUUCAUUUUCGAAUGGGUUCUCUUAUAUAAGUGGGAUGUUCUGGAUAAUUGUUACUUUCGGUCGUUUUACUCGUUUUGUUAGUCGAUGAUACAAAGAACUUUUGAAUGCAUAUUGUGAGAUUUUAAACAGCUUCAUCUAUUUCAGUACGAUUGAGAAGAUACCAAAAUUCUUCGACACAGAAUUACUGCCGAAGAAAAAGUCACUCAGCAAGCUUUGAAAAAAAUCAAUAUAUAAGUGCAGUAGUGAGUGCAAGUAAGAAAGAAGAACUAUAUACAUGUGGAGGUGCGAUCUGGUGAUGGCAUUUCAACAUCCUCUUGGUUCUUCACCUUUUUUCCUCCUGUGCAGAUCCACAUGGCGGCAAAUAACACACGUUUGGGAUCAAAAACUGGGUCUAUUUCUGAGCCUCGUAGUGUCUAGUCAUGUUCCGACGACCUGUCGAUCAGAACUGUCGACGAGAUCGUCAGUUCAUUAUUUUUUAUUUGAAGCUUAGUUAAGUAUGGGAAAUGGCUUUCCGUGAAUUUGGCUGAAUUUUUGAUAUGUUGUAGUUCUUGAUGAACUGAUCAGAAAA